ACAUACACACACAUACAUUUGUAGGAAUGUGCAUGCAGCAUCUACUAACCGCACAUGCAGUCUAGUACCAUACAAGCCACAUAGUUCUGUGUGCGUGUGACAACCAACUGAGUUUAUUUGCUGCCACUCGUUUAUUUAGUUGCCCGUCAGCGGUCACUCAUACGCCCUGUUGACCGUUUGCACUCCGCGGUCAAUAGUUCACUGCAGGCGCGUGCCUUGUUUUCUCUUAUUUUACAUAUUCCACGCAGCAACUGAUGUUGUUGUGUAAGUUUACUAUUGUUGUUGCUGUACGAUUUUUGUUUUUGAUUUACCUUUUAACUGUGUGCAUGUACUUAUGUCUUUGCCUGCACGUUCAAAGUGAAUUUAACUCAUUUAAAGUGCAAUUAAAUUAAAACGCUUUCAAUUACCCCACUUUAAAUGACCGACCAGAGGCGAGGGAGUGGGAGGGAGUAGCGCGUUUCUCUACAUUUUUUCACACUGGCCAGUUUGAAUUAAAAAAAAUAAGUAAAAUUAUGAUAUUGCUCGUAAUACUCUGGCUACAAGUUGCUACAAAGUAUAGUAGUUUUGAUCAUCUAACAGUUGUACGUAUCACCUGACUGUCUGGCUGUCGAUACGUCCGUCCGCCCAUUCAAGCUGUAACUUAAGUAAAACUAGAGAUUUCGUUAUAGAACUUGGUAUAUAUCUUCCUUGGCAAUAACAUCAGAACAGGUUCGUGGAUGAGCGUAAUCCGACCGCUGUCACGCCAGUAGUAUAUUUGCUUAGCGAACUAAUUUCGAUAUAUUUUCACCUGGAAAUAAGAGGUGAAGAAGUAUGAAAUAGAGAUUGGUAAGGCCCUUAGCUUGGAAGCAAAGGAAAGCAACUAAGUUAACUGCAGGAAAAAUUAGAAUAAUUUCCCCGAAAAGUUGAUAAGAGAAUUUGAUAAUAUAAAAUCGUGAAAACUCUAGAAGGCCAAAAACUAGCAUUUUAAAUUUUUGUUGUGGUUCUAAAAAGAGACUGUACAACUUACUUCCCAAUAGAUAGAUAUGUCGAUAAGAGAUUAGGGCAACUUAAAUUGAAGAAAAAAAUAAUAUUUAAUCCCCAUUAAUCCCUUAAUGAUAUAAAUUUAUACUGCCGCAAGCUUGAAAAUUCCUUUUGCUACCGCUACGUUUUAGUACACAUACAAACAUACAUAUACGUAUACUCGCCUAUAUUCAUAUAAUAAUGUAGCACCAUUUCACAACGAUACCAACUCAUUCAUUCUCCGUCAUUUUUUUGCCUUUCGGGCAACUUAAAUUCAAUUAAAAUAAUUUCAUUUUAUUUAAUUUGUUUCAAUUUUGUUGUAUGCAUUUAAACUGAGAACGCUGCGGGAAACUAAUUUCGCAUAAAAUGCAAACAAACGAGAGCGUGUAUAAAGCAGUGAACUCGCAACAGUAAGCAUGUAUGUAAACAAAUGCAGGUCUAUGUGUGUACAAAAAAUUCGAUGAAAACCCUUUAAAAAAGAGAGGGAAAAAACAAUAUUAAAAAACAACUAUACAGAUACACAUAUAUUUGUGGGGAAAUUAAUUAAACUCGGCAGCUUAAAUGUAUGAGAACAGCGACGAAAGUUCGCCAUUUGUGAUGCUCUCAUCGCCCACCAAGUCUUGGCCGGCUAGUUACGGUAAAAAGAACGGCAUGUGGUACGCCUCGCCCGGUAAUCAGGGUUGGGGCUCGAAACCGGCCAGUCGUAAGCCAUCGAUUAUGGAGGCUGACUUGGACACAUUAUCGACCACACCGGGCUCGAUCAAACGCCGCGCCGGACGUGUUAUACGUAUCACCAAUAAUUUGGAUCAUUCAGUGGAGCCACAAACAAGAAUAAUACCUUUGGUGCAAUCUCGCCGCCCUACUGGUUGUCGAUUACAUCACACUGUGCGACCUGGAUGCAAUUGAGUUGGCAUUCACAUUCGCAUGAGAUGAUUAUCUACAGAGUUUACCACAACCCCAUUAAAUCGGGGAAGUUCAACAAACUCGAAACUAAAAUAUCAUGGCUCCAUAUAAGCAAUCUGAAAUCUACCUUACAGCACAUGCUCUAUGUCGAAGCAAUUGGUGAGCAUGCAACAUCUCUGCCUUUCAAGACGCUGGUGGUUUGGACCGAUCCAUCGUUGCAGGCAUUCGUUUAUCCGGCAAGUAUACCCCGCAGAUAACAUAAACGAAGUUGGCUCGAUGACUAUACUCUGAUUAGCUUUGUGUAAUCCGGCGCCAACCAUUUCACUGUACGUCGGUGGACAUUUGGUGCGGCACGCAAUGUCAUGCUGACAUGGAUCAUAUAUCUUGCUAUGGGCACAAUGAUUAUGGUUCGCUUAUACAGGCUACAAGAAGAGACAAUAUUUGCUAUGCAGAAAAAACUACCGCCGCCAACAUAGCCGUCGCCUCGUUGGGCGAUGAGAUUGAGUUGCUUUGCAAGUCAAUGCGAAACCAACACUAAAAGCAAUAUUCUGUCAUGACUAUGAUGAAAAUAAGUGACGUUUUCGUAAAUUAACGGCCCCAAAAAAAAUGCCUACGAAUUUUAAUUACCGGAGCCAGUGGUCAUUAGUCUUGCGUGCCUGGGCAGUGGGCAACAGUAACACGUAGUCAAGAAAAAGUCGACAGCAAAAGCCAAACGAAACGUAGGCGAGCUAAGAAGCAAUUAAAAAUCUGGUGAAAGCUUAAAUGUUGGCCGUGGUUCGGUUAAUAGUAAACAAGCGACAACAAUUUUUUUGCAGCAAUAGUUAGGUGUGCGAACGCCUAUGAAAAACAGCAACAACUAGAAUGCAAGUAACGAAAACGGAGAAAGAAUGUAUAAGGAAGCGAGAGGCAGCUAAUCCCUAGUAAUGAUUGAAUGCUUGGCAGCUACCAUAAAAGCGAGCAAAAAUUGGUGAAUUUUAGUUUUUGCAUAUUAUGGGUGUUAUAACAUUUUUUUGUAACAUGUGAGUUAGCAAAAAUUAAUUGUUAUGAUAAUCAAUGCCUCCAGAUUAUACUGUUUUGAGUAAUUGGUGGGAUUUACACACAUUAUAUGAAAAAUUUAAAAAUCAAAUCAUGUUUUUGAAAAUUUUUUUGAAAUUUUUUUUACUUUUAAAAUAAUUUUUAUUGAGAAUUUUUACUUUUUUAUCGAAUAUUUUAACGUAGCACAAAGCUAAAAAUUCACUAAAGUUGCCCGCUAUGCCUACUUACAGAGUCACUUUUUUCCCUUUUCAACAUUUUUCUUUAAUGGUUGAAAAACAUUAUUUAGUUGUCAUGUGCCCUUGGGUGAUCCAAAAAAAAUUUUCACUUAUAAACUGGUUGAUAGAUAAAUUCAUAAAGAUGCAGAACUAUACCUUAAACAUAUUAAAUUUGAAUAAUUGUGGCAUAGUGAAGUUUACGAGCAAAUUGUAGCAUUUUUUUAAAGAAUUAUAUUCCCUAUAUAUACGAGACUAGAUACUUUUUUCAAAUAGUAGAUAUUGAGAAAUGAAUUUUGUAAUAUACUAUAUACUAUGUUCAUAUGUGGAGAGAAUUUUUUUGAGGAGUAGACCAACCAAUUUUUCAGAGCUUAAAGUGAAAAGGCAUAUUCUAUUUUCUUUGACCCACCCUAAUGCGCUCACAAAACAAAUAAAGUUGCUGCCGCCAACGCAUUGCUCACGGUAUUUGAGCUGCUUGCACUUGUAGCUGUUACUCGUAUAUUGUUUUAUAAUUUAAUUGUAUUUCUUGCUGCUCUUGGCACAUGCCACUGAAUUCAAGGUCUUCGCGUGAGUUAACCUUAUUAACUUGCAAUGUACACAGAUUUUAUUUAUGUGUUUGUUUUUUUUUUGUGAUAUUUGCUUAUACUUUACUUUACUUAAUAACUUUUAUGUGUGAAGAAAUUUAAUUUCAAGCGAUUUAAAUUUAGUUGUAAAAUUACAAACAUUCCCUUUUACUAUGUCUGCAUAUUUAUAUGCGAGCAUGUACGAAGUAAAACGAGCAUUUGCUUAGUAAAGUAGAAACGAACAAUAAUAAAUGUAAAAAUUUAUUUGCUAGA